GCCACACAUGUCGAUCACAAUCAGGAUUUGAAAGAGUUGAAGAUCAGUUCUCGUCGUCUGCUCAAUGAGGCAUAUGAUAAAUUUACCGGGAAGACAGGAGAUAGGUUCCCUUACACCAAAUUAAGCAGUAAAGAGCUUUAGGUGUUUGGUUUGCCGGAUGGUGUGGUCCUGAGGGAGAUUGGCCGGAUGGGCAAGUCAUCAUUGGACAAACUAGUUUGCUGUCUGAAGGAAAAUUUGCUUUCCUUUAAACUCAGAACUCCUGACACAGUCACCUCUUCCAUCCCC